UGAAAUUGACCCGUCUCCGUUUCUUGCGAUUUUAGUGUUUAAAUGACUGUAAUAACGUUGUGACUCUAUUUCUGAUAGUGUAUCAACGUUUCGAGGCCUUUUAGAAAGUAAAAGAUCCGGGGAGUGAAUUUUGGAGCGCGCGUGAUCUGCGUUCAGGUCCGAGCACCAGUAGUCAGCGUUGAUCGAGUUUGGAGAAUUUCUGGUCUGGAGACAGGGGUGAGCACACAGGGUUUUGUACUAUUUCAGUCUCCAUCUGUUUAUAUAAAGACUUGUCUUUUACUUUUCGAGACAGUCUAGUUUCGGUGGUCCACUGUUGGGACUUGUACUCGUUUUGUUGGUAGCUCUGUAUUAGUGACUUCCAGGUUCUGGGAGGGAUCCUUUAUUGCAUUUAUGUUUUGGUUUGCUUAUGUUGUUAUAGUAAUUUUUCUUAGUCUUGUUUA